AGAGUUUGAUCAUGGCUCAGGAUAAACGCUGGCGGCGUGCAUUAGACAUGCAAGUCGAACGAACGACCUCGGGCUUNCCCCGAGGAAGUUAGUGGCGAACGGCUGAGUAACGCGUGGGUGACCUGCCCAGAAGUGGGGAAUAACUGCCCGAAAGGGUGGCAAAUACCGCAUGUGGUCAUGAGUUCGAUCUCUUGACCAAAGCCUUCGGGCGCUUUUGGAGGGGCCUGCGUUCGAUUAGCUCGUUGGUGAGGUAACGGCUCACCAAGGCGACGAUCGAUAGGUGGUCUGAGAGGAUGAACACCCAGACUGGGACUGAGACACGGCCCAGACAACUACGGUUGGCAGCAGUCGGGAAUUUUGCCCAAUGGGGGAAACCCUGAGGCAGCAACGCCGCGUGAGGGAUGAAGGCCUUCGGGUUGUAAACCUCUUUUCUCAGGGACGAUAAUGACGGUACCUGAGGAAUAAGCCACGGCUAACUACGUGCCAGCAGCCGCGGUAAUACGUAGGUGGCAAGCGUUGUCCGGAUUUACUGGGCGUAAAGAGCGCGCAGGCGGCCAGGUAAGUCGAAUGUGAAAGCCCCCGGCUCAACUGGGGAGGGUCGUUCGAUACUGCCUGGCUCGAAGAUAGGGGAGGGAAGCGGAAUUUCAGGUGUAGUGGUGAAAUGCGUAGAUAUCUGAAGGAACACCAGUGGCGAAGGCGGCUUUCUGGCCUAUUCUUGACGCUGAGGCGCGAAAGCUAGGGGAGCGAACGGGAUUAGAUACCCCGGUAGUCCUAGCCGUAAACGAUGAACACUAGAUGUUGGUGGUAUCAACCCCGCCAGUGUCGUAGCUAACGCAUUAAGUGUUCCGUCUGGGGAGUACGGCCGCAAGGCUAAAACUCAAAUGAAUUGACGG
rnacentral:rRNA from 1 species